CCUACGGGUGGCUGCAGUGGGGAAUAUUGGACAAUGGGCGAAAGCCUGAUCCAGCCAUGCCGCGUGUGUGAAGAAGGCCUUCGGGUUGUAAAGCACUUUCAGUGGGGAAGAAAGCCUUGGGGCUAAUACCCUCGAGGAAGGACAUCACCCACAGAAGAAGCACCGGCUAACUCCGUGCCAGCAGCCGCGGUAAUACGGAGGGUGCGAGCGUUAAUCGGAAUUACUGGGCGUAAAGCGCGCGUAGGCGGUCUGAUAAGCCGGUUGUGAAAGCCCCGGGCUCAACCUGGGAACGGCAUCCGGAACUGUCAAGCUAGAGUGCAGGAGAGGAAGGUAGAAUUCCCGGUGUAGCGGUGAAAUGCGUAGAGAUCGGGAGGAAUACCAGUGGCGAAGGCGGCCUUCUGGACUGACACUGACGCUGAGGUGCGAAAGCGUGGGUAGCAAACAGGAUUAGAUACCCCAGUAGUC
rnacentral:rRNA from 1 species